CAACUUACUAUCUAGGCUGGUGAUUACUAUACUCGUAUGUCCACGUUUGUUAUUCCUUACAACUUACUAUCUAGGCUGGUGAUUACUAUACUCGUAUGGCCACGUUUGUCAUUCCUUACAACUUACUAUCUAGGCUGGUGAUUACUAUACUCGUAUGUCCAGGUUUGUCAUUCCUUACUACUUAAUAGGCUAAUGAUUACUAUACUCGUAUGGCCACGUUUGUCAUUCCUUACUACUUAAUAGGCUGAUGAUUACUAUACUCGUAUGUCCAGGUUUGUCAUUCCUUACUGCUUACUAUCUAGGCCGAUGAUUAC
rnacentral:lncRNA from 1 species